UUGAGCUAAGGACUGGCUGUAGCCUAGACAGUCUUCCAGCCUGGACGGAGGCCUCCUGAGCAACUCAGAGUGAAUGUGUUUUCAGAGUUAAGUACCAGGUGGGUGUGAUUUGUGUGUGUGUGUGCUUGUGUGUGUGCGCCAUGUUUUGAGUUUGGAUCAGGGGUGUGGGAUGGGGGGCUCAUUGUUGGGCUGUGCCUGCCUGGAAGAUCUCCUUGGCUGUGACACACAUAUUGAUGUCUUUUGAAAUGUCUAGCUUGUUCCGGAGGCUUUGUCAAGGCUAUCUUCCAGACCCUUCAACCCCUUCUCUUCCACCCUUUGGACCUUCAGGAUGGAUAGCGAAGGGCUUGUGCAGUUAGAUGUCAUCACCACAGACUCUGCCUGGGAAAUGGGAGGAGGUGAUUUCAUCCCUGUGUGCAGGUCACAGAGUGCCCCCACACAAGUUAAAUUGCUGCAACUUUGACCGGCAGUGCAGUCACACAGGAUCCAUCCCCCUUGUAUCUGAGGGCGUGGAACCUGCUGUGUCCGGCUCAAGGCAGUUUCUCGGGGCCACCCAUUGCCAGAUCCACUGUCUAGGGAUCAAAAAGGACUUCAAGAGGUGCAGAGACUUCCAAGAUCACACAGAGGUGGGACCUGAGUGUACUGAGUCCAAACACAGGUAUCUGCUUCUCUGUCUGUCUUUCCUUCUUGCUGUCUUUGGAGGCAGGCAUUGUGGGUACAGACAGCUUCCAUGGCCAGGGUAUGCUGCCCUUGAGCACAGCCCUGCUGUUCCUAGGCUGGACAGACACAUGGACAAGCAUCAUCAUCCUGAAAACCUCAUGGUUUCCUCGAUUGGUUGCCCUGAGGGUCUGCCCAAGGCCAGGGUUUCCCCACUAGCCAACAUCUCUAAAUCCCAGGGACACUAUUCCAUUUUGGAGUUUCUCCCCAAUGCCCCCAAUGGCUCUCCAUUGCCAAGUGCCCCAGGGACUCCUAGGCUGUGAGAUAGUCAUCGGGAGGUCUCUACUUUGAAAGUGGGGAAACUGAGUCUCAAGCUCGGGGACAUCAAUAGUCAGGAAGCUCAGAUCCACAGAGAGAAGCUGGCUUCUGCCCGAGUUCCAUACUCCUCUAGGCUUCUCCAUCGGCCACAUGGUAAGUUGGAUCGAGGGUAGACAAGCUGGAGCUGUGCAUGUCCCCAGCUGUGCCUAAGGGACCCUACUUCCCCUGAGAACAAAGCUAUCACCAAGCCUGUCUCUGCUGCAGUUCAUGUCCCAGCUGUGGCUCAGGGUCCCCCAAUUCCCCUGCUACAGUGCAUGUCCCAGCUGUGCCUCAGGGACCCCAUGUUCCCUGCUGCAGUGCAUGUCCCUAGAUGUGCCUCAGGGUCCCCAUGUCCCCUGCUGCAGUGUGUGUCCCCAGCUGUGUCUCAGGGUUCCCCCAAUUCUCCUGCUGCAGGACUGCACUAGGAGGUCUGUGUCCCUCGUUGACCCCGAAGCCACCUCCUUGUUCCUUGUGGUACCCAACAGGGCACAAGGAUAGCUUCCCCAGGGAAGGUUACAGAUGUGUGUCUCUCAGCCAAGGACAGAGCCCAGGACAACAGACAGACAAACAGAUGGAUGGACGGGAGGCUCCUGCUCCUUGUUACAGUCAAGUGCAUCAUCUCUGUCUGAGCCUGCCACCUUCAGUAUUUGGUAGCCACCCUUCAGAUGAUGGAAAUUCCAUUCUGACCUCUUUCCAGGCACGUUCAGAAUCUCUGGGGUUGAGACUUCUCCAAAAACUUCUGCAGGAUCCUGGUGGGAAGCUCUCUCCUCUCUCUGCGUCAGCUUCCUGGGGGACCCACCGUUCCUUCCAGCCCAGAGCGGCAUCACUGUCUACACAUCACAAGCCUGGGUUGGUGUCGAGUGUCUCUGACUUUGGAGUCUCGAGCCCCGGACUUAGUUUUAUGGGCUUUGGCUGUCGAGGGCAGCCGACGACUCCAUCCAUCAACCGGGGACUGCUCUAACACUAAUGGUGAAUUUAUAGAAGUGGUUAAACAAAGUGUUGACAAUGCGGACGGUGUGUUUCUGAUUAACACACGAUUCCGAGGGAAGCUGCCAUCCGAGGGGGGAGUCAGUAAAACACAGCAGUGAAUUCCCAGGCCCCGGAGACUCCGACUAGACUGGAUCACCAGAGGUUGCGCAAGGAGAUCAUGAGUCUGAGGCUGCUGUGGGGACUCUUGUACAAACCCAGAGCCACCCCUCCCUUCCCCCCCUUUUUUUUUCUUGAGAGAUUACAUCUGAGUUCUCUCUUCCAGCCUUAAGCGUUUCCAUUAGAAAAUUCUGUCAGCUCCCAUGGUGUUCUCUCCAAACCCUGUCCUCAGACCAACCCCUCUCCC
rnacentral:lncRNA from 1 species